AGUGAACGCUGGCGGCGUGCCUAAUACAUGCAAGUAGAACGAAGUGUCGCACGGGUGUGUAAUAUAUAGUUAUUCUGCCCUUCACAGAGGAACAACAGUUUGAAACGGCUGAUAAUAUCCCAUAGUGUAGGAUGGGGCGAUAUCGUAUCAGCUAGUUGGUAAGGUAAUGGCUUACCAAGGCUAUGACGCGUAACUGGUCUGAGAGGAUGAGCAGUCACAUUGGCGCUGAGACACGGUCCGAACUCCUACGGGAGGAAGCAGUAAGGAAUAGAGCGCAGUGGGGGAAGCGCUGACGCAGCACGGCCGGUUGGGGUAUGACACUUGUGGGGACGUAAACUCCUAUUGUCAAGAAAGCGGUACCUGAUGAAUAAGCACCGGCUAACUACGUGCCAGCAGCCGCGGUAAUUC
rnacentral:rRNA from 1 species